UUUGUCUUCAUCUUCCAUUGCACGGGCAUCUACAAUUGCUUGUUUUGAUAGUCUACCAUAGCAUAAGUAAGGGUUUGGUUGAUCAAGUCGGUAAUGUACGUGGUAUUUAAAAAAUUCAUGCAUAUUUACUGUAUUUCUUUUCCUUUUUUAUUGAAAAAAGUCCAUUUUACUCCCCUCACCUAUUUACUUUAUCCACUUAACCGCUAAGCAAAAUUUAGGCUCACUUUAC
rnacentral:lncRNA from 1 species